GCUGCUCUUGCAGAGGGCCUGUAUUCAAUACAAAAUACCCACAUCCAUAAAAUAAAAAUGAAAAUUGUUUUUUUAAGUCUUCUAGCAACCCGGACGAAGAGUUUUAAGUGUGAAAAGUCCUUCCCGGGCCCCUGGGUUUGAACACUUGGUCCAAAUUGCUGACGCUGUCUGGCUUGUAAACACUUAGAACGUACAUCCUAACAGUUGAUACAGCCACUAGGGACAGACCCUUGAUGAUGGUAUUUGCUUCUACUGUCACCCAAACAUUCUUCCUGAACUGCCACCACGUGAAUGAGUUAUUCUCUGAGUUCUCGCUGCCACAGACCAAGCCCCUGCUGCCACUAUACCUGGUCGUUGCAGCCCAGAAACUGUGAGUCGAGUCCCUGCCCUCCCAUAGGUUGUUGCUGUCAAGAAUGCCACCACCAUGGCUAGCCAAGUAACUAAUACAGCAAGUUGCGAGGUACCUGAAGUUGCCUACAGCAGUUCCUGGUUCUGUUGGUUGAGUUAUGUAUUUUGGCGGUAACGAGAACUCCUAAACUAGAGAAGCAGAUUUACUUUGUGAUGCUGGAGAAUGAACAGAGGCCUGGUUCACCCUAGGAGUGUGUUCUAGCUAUGCAUGAAGGGGCCCACUCACACACACCCACACCCACACAUAUGCAUAAGCACUCACAUGUGUGUGCAUAUGUGUGUGUUUGUAUGUACACAUGUAUUUAACCUUAUUAGUAGGAAGAGCAAGAAUAUGCUUCAGGUGUGAGGACAACUUUGUAGAAUGGCCUCUUUCACCUUUUCACGGUUUUUGGGACCAAACUCAUGCAUCGGGCUUCAGAGGCAAACACUUCUGCAGGCUGAGGCACCUCCCUAUUCUGAACAAGUAGCUCUUAACGCUCAGCGACAGUAAGCAAAGGGACAUUAUCCAAGGAUGGGAUGAAUAGAGAAGCAAAGAAAAUGGCACAGGCCACAUUUGUCAGUAAAACAUUCCCAGUUUUCCAGAUCUACUCUAACAGGACCUAUUUCUUUCUACAAAACUCCAUGCCCAGGAGGAUCGGGUAUGUGAAUGCAGAUAUGGCUCAGGAGGGAGAGCCAGUCCUAUGUUUGAAUUUUUCUGCCCAAAGAUAGAAAAAGGAGAUUGGAACCAGCUCUACAGGGAGCCGGCAGGUGGCUGAGAAAUGUAUGUCCUGCACAUUAAAGUUGAGCAAACAACUCUGCUCUAGCAGGGAAGAAAACAAUCGACUUCCUCAUAAAAAGAAUUUGCUGAAAACCAAAAAGGGUAUGAGACAUAAAGGGGAGAAUUUCUCAUCAGAGAGGAAACUGUGAAAUGAGAAGUCACUGCUCAGAUAAAAAGCAAUAGAAUUCCAAAAGUGUGGCCAUUUUGCAAUACGGGCCAACCUAAGAUGCUUUGGAGAGCGGGCUUCAGCAGUCCCUCUGGAGAGCAAUGCUUAAGGCUGAGGUUUCCAUCUCCUCUGUAGUUAAUUUGCAGUGCCAUCAUACCCGAUCCAACCUUGGUCUCAGAGAAAUGCAGACACAUUGGCUUCGAGGUUCACAAAGAGAUGAAGGAGAGAACUUUCUCCUAAGCACAUGCCUUAGGAGGAAGCAUGUGUUUUUCUGUUCGAUCCCCCUCCUCCCCCCACGCAGGGGCAUCUGCUUUUCUUGAGACCAGGCGUUGCCGGGUAGCCCUGCCUGUGCUAUGGAUACAAUGUUUCCUCAUCUUCUGGAUCCGGGGAUUGCAGGCGUGAGCCACCUUUCCCAGCUGUUCCCAACUUUGACACACGGAAGGCUCCUUUCCAACAACUCUACUUUCUAUGACUCCACUUGCAGUUGACAGGCGGAGUAGCCUGACUGUCAUAGUGAUGUCCCAGACAGAGAAACUGGUGGGAAGUGUCUGAGAUUGAAUACUGAGACACUCAAGUCACCCUGGGUGCCAAGAACCUUUCCAGCGUUCCCUCUUCACUCGUCAUGUAUAGGGAAAAGAAAUAAAAAAUGUCCCUCAGAAGACAGACUUGAAAUCCAGACAGAAUGGAAGAUUUUGUUUUGUUUUCUCUUCCUGUGUGAGAGUCAUGAACUUUCUAGUGAUUAGAGGACUGUUUCCAAGACAACCUGGCUAAUGCAAGUCUUUGAAGGAAAACCAAAGAAUGGAUGAAGGGAGCUAAAGAGAAAUCCGAGACCAACAGAACUCAGCAGUUUAUACCGCGUAAGCAAGGGCCAGUCUUGAAUUGGACAUCUGAGGAACAAUUCGUUGGGGUGUAGACUCCUGGAAAUCCAACUCCUCAGUGUGUUUUUGGGACCAAUGCUCUGGCUGGCCUCCUCAGUUCUUUCUGCACCCACACCAUUCUAGGUGCUAAUCUUAUCCCUCUAAAUAAGAAAGUGUGAAGAUGAGCCAUGGACAGGACGAGUGACAUCUGUGUACUCCUGACAUGGCAGCGUACUGGGAUGGCUGAGGUGGCUGGCUGGCCUUUGGUUCAUUUCCUGACUCUUGCGAGGCAGAAAUCCACCUAGUUUUUGAAUACCAUAUGACGUUAAGUCAUGUGUCUCUUUGGAGUCCUAUUUAUCAUGUACUGUUUGUGGCAUUGCUGAGGGCCGAUAUCAAGACAUGACUGCCACCUUUGAGGCCUGUCUUGACUCUCUUCACCAAGAUGGGGAAGGGCAUAGGAAUGGGUUGGAUGAUGGACUUUGGUUCUCAUCAGCUCUUAAGCUUCCCCAUCCACUAGCCAAAGUGGCACACAGUACCGCAGUGGUCCCUCGUUCAGUGCGUUAAGACAAAGCUUUGGUGAAUACCUUUGACGCUUCCCUGCAAUGAUUCUGCCUUGACGAAUCUUCACGUCAUUUGCCAAAUUCACCUUCUCCAGCAGCUGGCGGCUGGCCCUCAGCACCUG
rnacentral:sRNA from 1 species